GUGGGGAAUAUUGCACAAUGGGGGAAACCCUGAUGCAGCGACGCCGCGUGAAGGAAGAAGUAUUUCGGUAUGUAAACUUCUAUCAGCAGGGAAGAAGAUGACGGUACCUGAGUAAGAAGCACCGGCUAAAUACGUGCCAGCAGCCGCGGUAAUACGUAUGGUGCAAGCGUUAUCCGGAUUUACUGGGUGUAAAGGGAGCGUAGACGGAUAGGCAAGUCUGGAGUGAAAACCCAGGGCUCAACCCUGGGACUGCUUUGGAAACUGCAGAUCUGGAGUGCCGGAGAGGUAAGCGGAAUUCCUAGUGUAGCGGUGAAAUGCGUAGAUAUUAGGAGGAACACCAGUGGCGAAGGCGGCUUACUGGACGGUGACUGACGUUGAGGCUCGAAAGCGUGGGGAGCAAACAGG
rnacentral:rRNA from 1 species